UCGAUCGUCAGCAAGUUGGCGAAACUAGACGCCCUUUCACGGCGGUAACAGGGGUUCGAUUCCCCUUGGGCGUACCA
rnacentral:tRNA from 1 species